rnacentral:rRNA from 1 species
AUGAGCUCUCGGAUGGCCGGAGCCACGCUGCUGCGCCACCUGGGCCCCCGCCUCUUCGCCGCCGCCGAGCCGGCGUCCGGGCUCGCCGCGAGCGCGAGGGGCAUCAUGCCCGCCGCCGCGAGGAUCUUCCCCGCGCGGAUGGCCAGCACAGAGGCUGCCGGCCCGCGUGCCAAACAAGAAGAAGCCACUGAAAAGCCCCAGGGCGCAACAACGCCGGAGCAGAACAAGAAGGCCGUGGUGAGCUACUGGGGCAUCGAGCCGCGGAAGCUCGUCAAGGACGACGGCACGGAGUGGCCGUGGUUCUCCUUCAGGCCGUGGGACACGUACCGGCCGGACACGUCCAUCGACGUGGCCAAGCACCACGAGCCCAGGGCGGUGGCGGACAAGGUGGCGUACCUCAUCGUGCGGACGCUGCGCAAGGGAAGCGACCUCUUCUUCCAGCGCCGGCAUGCGAGCCACGCCUUGCUGCUGGAGACGGUGGCCGCGGUGCCGCCCAUGGUGGGCGGCGUGCUGCUGCACCUGCGCUCGCUCCGCCGCUUCGAGCACAGCGGCGGCUGGAUCCGCGCGCUCAUGGAGGAGGCCGAGAACGAGCGCAUGCACCUCAUGACCUUCAUGGAGGUGACGCAGCCGCUGUGGUGGGAGCGCGCGCUCGUGCUCGCCACUCAGGGCGUCUUCUUCAACGCCUACUUCGUCGGCUACCUCAUCUCCCCAAAGUUCGCGCACCGCUUCGUCGGCUACCUCGAGGAGGAGGCCGUCCACUCCUACACCGAGUACCUCAAGGACCUCGAGGCCGGCUUGAUCGAGAACACGCCCGCGCCGGCCAUCGCCAUCGACUACUGGCGCCUCCCCGCCGACGCCAGGCUCAAAGACGUCGUCAUCGCCGUGCGCGCCGACGAGGCGCAUCACCGCGACGCCAACCACUACGCAUCGGACAUCCAUUACCAGGGAAUGACGCUGAAUCAGACGCCUGCGCCGCUCGGGUACCACUGA